AUUGAACGCUGGCGGCAUGCUUUACACAUGCAAGUCGAACGGUAACAGGCCGCAAGGUGCUGACGAGUGGCGAACGGGUGAGUAAUGCAUAGGAACGUGCCCAGUCGUGGGGGAUAACGCAGCGAAAGCUGUGCUAAUACCGCAUACGAUCUAUGGAUGAAAGCGGGGGACCGUAAGGCCUCGCGCGAUUGGAGCGGCCGAUGUCAGAUUAGGUAGUUGGUGGGGUAAAGGCUCACCAAGCCAACGAUCUGUAGCUGGUCUGAGAGGACGACCAGCCACACGGGGACUGAGACACGGCCCAGACUCCUACGGGAGGCAGCAGUGGGGAAUUUUGGGCAAUGGGCGCAAGCCUGAUCCAGCAAUGCCGCGUGCAGGAAGAAGGCCUUCGGGUUGUAAACUGCUUUUGUACGGAACGAAACGGCGAGCUCUAAUACAGGGGGCUCAUGACGGUACCGUAAGAAUAAGCACCGGCCAACUACGUGCCAGCCGCCGCCGUAA
rnacentral:rRNA from 1 species